CCACCCUAGCAUACCAUCCGGUUAAACACUUUGUGGGUCUCAUUUACAGAUGACAGGGUUUGUGAUGCAACAGGCAGCUCCUGCCUACCUCAGCCCCACAAGGGAUUCCAGUCAACCAGGGAUCACAUAACGAAGCAGCCAUUGUUCCCAUAGCCAAGCAGCCUUGACUACAUGAUGCAGAGGGAACCUGAGUGAAGUCAUAUUGGUGAUCCCAACCAAUCAGGGACCAUGAAGGAUGACAUUAUGCCUACCAGAUUUCACUAUGUGGUGAAAUAGCUACAACUACGUGAGGGAGCAAGUCAAAGCUACAGAAACCAACACAGGAAGCUGCCUUAUACGGUCAGAGCCUUCAUCCAUAUACCUAUUUAUUAACUUUUUUAUUAUAUUUUUAUACCACCUUUUCCUCGCAGGAGCUCAAGGUGCCGUUCAUGGUUCUUCUUCCUCUCUGUCUUAUCCUCAGAACAAUCCUGUGAGGUAGGCUAGGCUGAGGGUGACUGGUCUGAGGUCACCCAGUGGGCUUCGUGGCUGAGUGAGGAUUUGAACACUGGUCUCCCAGAUCUUAAGGCAAGACUCUAACCACUACACAACAUUGUCUGCACUGACUGGUAGCAGUUCUACAGAACUCCAGGUCUUUCUCAGCCCUACCUGGAGAUGACAGUGAUUGCAAAUGGGAUAUUUUGUGUGCAAAGCACAUGCUGUACAAUGCUCUUCCUUAUAAACCAGCAUCCCCCCCCCCAAAAAAUAACUAACAAUAAGCUUCUCCUCCUCCUUUUUUGGACAGCUUCAGUCACUUUCAUAAAGAACAGUGAGUGGGCUCAAUGUAUGCAAUUUGUGGAGCCCACUGCAUUGGCAUAAAGAAUAGUUUCACAUUAUCCGCAACAUGCAUGCAGUUACAGAACUGGUGAUACCGAAAGCAGAUCAAGGUACCCUUUGUUUUUGUUUUCAUUUCAGGGGUCUCCAUUUCCAGAAGUUGCCAAGUACAAUGCACAGAGAAGGCAAGUGCAACCUGUCAUCCCAGCCCUUGCAUGGCAAAACCUGCCUUGUGCCUCUCCUAUUCCCCUAGUAAGACCUUUUGCAGCCACGUAGCCUUUCCUUUCAAACACAACGAGAUGCCGGGGAAGAAAUGAAGCUCCCUUUAUGCACUGCUAGAUGGAGCAAACAGAAUGCAAAUCAUG